rnacentral:sRNA from 1 species
ACUCUCUCUCCUCUCCCUCUUUCUAUUCCUCUUCCGGCGACGAGCACGAGUGGGCGGCGUGCGCGUGCCGGCAGCUGGCGGCCGCCGCAUCGUCCCCGUCGCUCGGGCUGCCCCCUCCGCAGCGGCGCUGACCCCGACGACAACGAGGAGGCGCGACCCCGGCAACGACGACGCCGACCCCGACGACGAGUGGGCGGUGACGCGGGCCUCGUCCCGCCCGGAUCCGGCGGCGGCGGGCCUCGUCACACCCGGAUCCGGCGGCGGCGGGCCUCGUCCCGCCCGGAUCCGGAGGCGGGAGUGGGCGGCGGCGGCGCGGCGGAUCCGGCUCGGGCGCGGCGUCGACGACGGUGGCGGGCGGCAGCGGCGAGGUCGGGCACGGCGGAUCCAGAGCGGUUGCGAGCGGUGGCGGCGAGCUCGGACACGACGACGACCUCGGCGACGACGACGGCGGCGGAUCCGGCUCGGGCGCGGCGACAACGACGGCGGCGGGCGGCGGCUAGCUCGGGCGCGACGACGACCUCGGCAACGACGAAGGCGGCGCACGUCGGCGAGGUUGGGCGCGACGGAUCCAGCGCGGUGGCGGGCGGCGGCGGUGAGCUCGGGUAUAUGUCCGUACUCAAGAAACUUCUAUCUAUUACAUGAUCGUGCAUUGUGCAAGAUGGUUACUUACUUGAUUUGGGGAUGAUGCAAAAUUCAACUGUGACGACUGGUUGAAAAGUACAUUAUUUUGUUUUAUGAGAUUCUUCACUAUUAUGCUUAAACUCAUGUGCAUCCAUCCUUUUGUUACAGUGAAGCUAUAUGUUGUUGCUUGAGAUUCAGCUGAUGCUACCCUGUAUCAGUACCCAAUCCAUUUUCUUUCUCUUCUCAUGUGUUACAACUUUGAUUUGUCAUUCGUGCUGCUAUACAUGUUCAUUUCCGAAGAUCUGUAGUUUAUCAGGAUGCAAUCGUGACUCGGAAAAUAUAAAGUAGAGUGUGAUUCCUUAUACAAUAAGACCCAAUCUUAGAUUCGAUGUUCACAUGCUCAUGAACCAAAUAUUAUUGGAGUUGUUGGUUUGAAUGAUAUGCACAUUGAACUGUUACUAAAAAAGCAUGUUCUAAGGGGCUGUUCUGAUUUUUUAUGUGCGACUUCAUGCAUUAUCUUUAGGAUGGUAAAUUUGUAAUGGUGAGUGAGUUUUGUUCUCAUCAGAAUCUUUAGCACCAUUUCUAUUAAAUUAGUCAUCAAUGGGUAACCUGUGUAUGCUGUUCGAUUCAUGUGCUACAACUUUGCUCGAUAGUUCUUUGUUGGUUGUCUUAGACAAUCACUGAUUUAGUCUGAAAGCAAAUGAUUUAACCUAAUCAACCGAGUUGUAUGCCGCCACAGGCAGCGCGGCAUGGCGCGCCCCAGCCUCUAGUAGGAGUCCAUGAGUAGCAUAUUUUUAAUAAAGAGAUCAAUUUGAAUAAUUAGGGAGUCUAUGAACAGAAACAUAGACCUUUAUAAUUAUAGCAUGCAUGCAAUCAUGUGCGGGCAUUUCUCAUUAACUUUCUUAGACUUAUUACUGGGAUUUUGCACAUGGCAGCUAAGGAGAAACAAUAUGAAAUGGAUGGAUUAGUUAGUUAAUUUGAGUGUGCUUGAUUUCUUUCGGUCAUUGUUCUUACUGAAAGCAAUAUUUUCUUAAUUUCUAACGGGAAAUGUACACAGUUUUGCGAAGAAGGGGGAAAAGAAGAGGAUGAGUAUGUAUUGCUAGAGUUGGAUGAUUGUCUUUAUCUGACAUAAAACCAAAUGCUCCAUAUGUGCUCUCUGUAAGUUGGUCCUCCAUUUUUUUAAUCAGUGGCUUAAUGGUACGGAUGGGCACGCUUUGAGUGUACAAAAUCUGUUUCUCUGAAUGUUUUUAAUCAGUGGCUUAAUGGUACGGAUGGGCACGCUUUGAGUGUACAAAAUCUGUUUCUCUGAAUGUUAGAUUUUAGUUGUGCAUGUAGUUCCCAGAAGUAGCUCUAAGAUUUCCUUUGUAGCAGAACGACCAACAUUAAAAAUGCCAUAUGCGCAUAGAAAUGUAGCAGUGAGCUCUGUGCUGAUUAUCUAGGAGAGCUCUUGCCAUCAGCAUUUAAAAUCGCCUAAUAGAAUUACAGAAGGACAAAGACAUAUAUGUUUCAUUUAUUUUGAAAAUAGGAACUGAACUUAAGCUCAGUUGGUUGACUUGAACUUGGAUGCCUAUUUCUUGUCUAUAAAUUGAUACUGAGAUUCUCCUUGUCAUCCAUCACCUUUUUUAUAUAUAUUUUGAGCAGCCUUUGUUGCUACAAAGUGCUACCAGUGUGUGUUAUGUGGUAGCUUUGGGGAGAAAAUAUAUAGUCUACCAUGUGAUGUGAGAAAAUGGUAUGCCAGCACAUAUUCUGCUUAUUAAUCUUUUUAAUGCCAUGAUUUAUGGACGUGAAAAUAACAAAGUUAAGUUUUUCUCCCACAUCCUUUGAUCACUGAGACGUUGGCUCAUAUCUAUUUCAAAAAGUUUGUUCACUGUCUUUAUCUCAUACUGAACACUACUGAGUUUUUCUUGUCAUGUUUUCCAGGGUAUCUGAUUCCUUCUGGUCGUCCUCGUCUUGAUCCAGAUCAAGCGUGAUCCCAAUCUGCGCGCUUACUUUCUUGGCUUGGAUUGAUUGAUUGAAAAUGUGUGUUUCUCAGGCCGCCUCCUGUUAUUAGGUUGAAUCUGAGAUGAACUAUUAUUUAAAUUCUGUUGUAUUCUGGUUGUAUCUAUUAUUAGUUGAAUCUGAUAUGGUAUCAGUUGUUAGGUUUGAAUCUGAGAUAUAUGAGAAAUUGGAUUGAAUUUGGUGGGCUC